rnacentral:lncRNA from 1 species
CCUAUAUAAGGCUAUGGUCCCCAAUACACCGUACGUAAGCAAACACUCUCUUCUCCCCAUCUGAAGAGAAUCAAGGCAUCAGGGUACCGGUUGAGGAAGAACCAAUCUAGCCACCAUUUCUUUGUGUUUCAGGAUCACUGCUGCUGAAAAGACUCAUCACCAUGGAUCCAGGUAUUCCUAAAGAUCAUCUUGUCGAUCCUAUGAUUGUAUACAUGCUAAUGACUAUUUCGUUUCCGCACUAAAGU